UGAUAGUGAUGAGGACAAUUUCUGAGCAUGCCCUUAAAUCUCUCCCAAGCUUGGUAGAGAUUUUCUCCAUCUUUAUGUCUUAAACUUAAGAUCUCACUUCUCAAACG
rnacentral:snoRNA from 1 species